rnacentral:rRNA from 1 species
GGUCAAGUGAAGAAGCGCAUACGGUGGAUGCCUUGGCAGUCAGAGGCGAUGAAAGACGUGGUAGCCUGCGAAAAGCUUCGGGGAGUCGGCAAACAGACUUUGAUCCGGAGAUCUCUGAAUGGGGGAACCCACCUAGGAUAACCUAGGUAUCUUGUACUGAAUCCAUAGGUGCAAGAGGCGAACCAGGGGAACUGAAACAUCUAAGUACCCUGAGGAAAAGAAAUCAACCGAGAUUCCCUUAGUAGUGGCGAGCGAACGGGGAUUAGCCCUUAAGCUUCAUUGAUUUUAGCGGAACGCUCUGGAAAGUGCGGCCAUAGUGGGUGAUAGCCCCGUACGCGAAAGGAUCUUUGAAGUGAAAUCGAGUAGGACGGAGCACGAGAA